rnacentral:rRNA from 1 species
CACCGGAGCUUGCUCCCCGAAAGAAAAAAAGUGGGGAACGGGUGAGUAACACGGGGGUAACCUGCCCAUCAAAAGGGGAUAACACUUGGAAACAGGUGCUAAUACCGUAUAACACUAUUUUCCGCAUGGAAGAAAGUUGAAAGGCGCUUUUGCGUCACUGAUGGAUGGACCCGCGGGGCAUUAGCUAGUUGGUGAGGUAACGGCUCACCAAGGCAACGAUGCAUAGCCGACCUGAGAGGGUGAUCGGCCACACUGGGACUGAGACACGGCCCAGACUCCUACGGGAGGCAGCAGUAGGGAAUCUUCGGCAAUGGACGAAAGUCUGACCGAGCAACGCCGCGUGAGUGAAGAAGGUUUUCGGAUCGUAAAACUCUGUUGUUAGAGAAGAACAUGGAUGAGAGUAAAAUGUUCAUCCCUUGACGGUAUCUAACCAGAAAGCCACGGCUAACUACGUGCCAGCAGCCGCGGUAAUACGUAGGUGGCAAGCGUUGUCCG